rnacentral:rRNA from 1 species
AGAGUUUGAUCAUGGCUCAGAGUGAACGCUGGCGGCGUGCUUAACACAUGCAAGUCGAACGAGAACGGGCCUAGCUUGCUAGGCUGUCAGCUAAGUGGCGGACGGGUGAGUAAUGUAUAGUUAAUCUGCCCUUUAGAGAGGGAUAACAGUUAGAAAUGACUGCUAAUACCUCAUACUCCUUUUGCCUUAAUGGUAAUUGGGAAAUGUUUUUUCGCUAAAGGAUGAGACUAUAUGGUAUCAGGUAGUUGGUGGGGUAAGAGCCCACCAAGCCAAUGACGCCUAGCUGGUCUGAGAGGAUGAUCAGCCACACUGGAACUGAGACACGGUCCAGACUCCUACGGGAGGCAGCAGUGGGGAAUAUUGCACAAUGGAGGAAACUCUGAUGUAGCAACGCCGCGUGGAGGAUGACACAUUUCGGUGCGUAAACUCCUUUUAUAUGGGAAGAUAAUGACGGUACCAUAUGAAUAAGCACCGGCUAACUCCGU